rnacentral:rRNA from 1 species
UACGUAGGGCGCGAGCGUUUAUCCGGAAUUAUUGGGCGUAAAGAGCUCGUAGGCGGUUUGUCACGUCUGCUGAUGAAAACUGGAGGCUCAACCUCCAGCCUGCAGUGGGUACGGGCAGACUAGAGUGCGGUAGGGGAGACUGGAAUUCCUGGUGUAGCGGUGAAAUGCGCAGAUAUCAGGAGGAACACCGGUGGCGAAGGCGGGUCUCUGGGCCGAUAUCGACGCUGAGGAGCGAAAGCGUGGGGAGCGAACAGGA